UGCAAGUCGUACGCUUCUUUUUCCACCGGAGCUUGCUCCACCGGAAAAAGAAGAGUGGCGAACGGGUGAGUAACACGUGGGUAACCUGCCCAUCAGAAGGGGAUAACACUUGGAAACAGGUGCUAAUACCGUAUAACAAUCGAAACCGCAUGGUUUUGAUUUGAAAGGCGCUUUCGGGUGUCGCUGAUGGAUGGACCCGCGGUGCAUUAGCUAGUUGGUGAGGUAACGGCUCACCAAGGCCACGAUGCAUAGCCGACCUGAGAGGGUGAUCGGCCACAUUGGGACUGAGACACGGCCCAAACUCCUACGGGAGGCAGCAGUAGGGAAUCUUCGGCAAUGGACGAAAGUCUGACCGAGCAACGCCGCGUGAGUGAAGAAGGUUUUCGGAUCGUAAAACUCUGUUGUUAGAGAAGAACAAGGAUGAGAGUAACUGUUCAUCCCUUGACGGUAUCUAACCAGAAAGCCACGGCUAACUACGUGCCAGCAGCCGCGGUAAUACGUAGGUGGCAAGCGUUGUCCGGAUUUAUUGGGCGUAAAGCGAGCGCAGGCGGUUUCUUAAGUCUGAUGUGAAAGCCCCCGGCUCAACCGGGGAGGGUCAUUGGAAACUGGGAGACUUGAGUGCAGAAGAGGAGAGUGGAAUUCCAUGUGUAGCGGUGAAAUGCGUAGAUAUAUGGAGGAACACCAGUGGCGAAGGCGGCUCUCUGGUCUGUAACUGACGCUGAGGCUCGAAAGCGUGGGGAGCAAACAGGAUUAGAUACCCUGGUAGUCCACGCCGUAAACGAUGAGUGCUAAGUGUUGGAGGGUUUCCGCCCUUCAGUGCUGCAGCUAACGCAUUAAGCACUCCGCCUGGGGAGUACGACCGCAAGGUUGAAACUCAAAGGAAUUGACGGGGGCCCGCACAAGCGGUGGAGCAUGUGGUUUAAUUCGAAGCAACGCGAAGAACCUUACCAGGUCUUGACAUCCUUUGACCACUCUAGAGAUAGAGCUUCCCCUUCGGGGGCAAAGUGACAGGUGGUGCAUGGUUGUCGUCAGCUCGUGUCGUGAGAUGUUGGGUUAAGUCCCGCAACGAGCGCAACCCUUAUUGUUAGUUGCCAUCAUUCAGUUGGGCACUCUAGCAAGACUGCCGGUGACAAACCGGAGGAAGGUGGGGAUGACGUCAAAUCAUCAUGCCCCUUAUGACCUGGGCUACACACGUGCUACAAUGGGAAGUACAACGAGUCGCGAAGUCGCGAGGCUAAGCUAAUCUCUUAAAGCUUCUCUCAGUUCGGAUUGUAGGCUGCAACUCGCCUACAUGAAGCCGGAAUCGCUAGUAAUCGCGGAUCAGCACGCCGCGGUGAAUACGUUCCCGGGCCUUGUACACACCGCCCGUCACACCACGAGAGUUUGUAACACCCGAAGUCGGUGAGGUAACCUUUUGGAGCCAGCCC
rnacentral:rRNA from 1 species